UCGCUUAUUAACUCCAAGUUUUCCCAAACUCCUUUCUCAUUUUCAACUAUCCUUCUCUCUUUCCUUACUCACUCACAUUCACGAAAGAGAAGUCUGCUCUCCCAUGUCCAUUUCCUUCACUUGAAAAAAUUAACACUUCAGUUAAAACCCACUAAGAUUUAAAAAAAAUGAACGCAAUGAAAAAGAUUCGCAAAGGAGAAGAUGCGAAAUAAUUUCAGAUACGACCAAAAGCAUUUUUCUAUCAUCAAACUUCUGAUCUAUGAAUCAAUGUAUUUUGAAGAAGGAUAUAACACUCUUUGACAACGAGAUGUUAUAAUCAACACUCCUGCUUGGAGAAAUCCUUAUCGGUGGCACUAAUCUGAUUGUGGAUCAUCAGUUUCACUUCUGAAAGGUUAUAUAUCAGUACCUUCCAAUAGAUAAAUCUAGGAUUAGAAUGCAUGCUUAGAAAUACAACAAAAUAUUUACUUGGUUUUGUCAUGACCCGAAAUUUCAACUACGACCCGUGAUGGCGUCUAAGGUCCACUUGCUAGGAAAG